rnacentral:rRNA from 1 species
UCAAAGAGGGUGACAAUCCCGUACUUGACGCGACAACCGGUGCUCUGUGAUACGUUCUCAACGAGUCGAGUUGUUUGGGAAUGCAGCUCUAAAUGGGUGGUAAAUUCCAUCUAAGGCUAAAUAUUGGCGAGAGACCGAUAGCGAACAAGUACCGUGAGGGAAAGAUGAAAAGCACUUUGGAAAGAGAGUUAAACAGCACGUGAAAUUGUUAAAAGGGAAACGAUUGAAGUCAGUCGUGUGAAAGGUAUUCAGCCGUCUCUGGCGGUGUAUUUGCCUUUCACGGGUCAACAUCAGUUUAGUCCGGUAGAAAAAGGCUGGAGGAAGGUGGCACCCUCGGGUGUGUUAUAGCCUCCUGUCACAUGUGCCGGAUUAGACUGAGGAACGCAGCUUGCCGCAAGGCCGGGGUUCGCCCACGUACAAGCUUAGGAUGUUGACAUAAUGGCUUUAAACGACCCGUCUUGAAACACGGACCAAGGAGUCUAACAUAUCUGCGAGUGUUUGGGUGUCAAACCCAAGCGCGAAAUGAAAGUGAACGUAGGAGGGAUCCGCAAGGAGCACCUUCGACCGAUCCGGAAGUAUUCUGAUGGAUUUGAGUAAGAGCAUAUAUGCUGGGACCCGAAAGAUGGUGAACUAUGCCUGAAUAGGGCGAAGCCAGGGGAAACUCUGGUGGAGGCUCGUAGCGAUUCUGACGUGCAAAUCGAUCGUCAAAUUUGGGUAUAGGGGCGAAAGACUAAUCGAACCAUCUAGUAG